AGCGAACGCUGGCGGCAGGCCUAACACAUGCAAGUCGAACGAACUCUUCGGAGUUAGUGGCGGACGGGUGAGUAACACGUGGGAACGUGCCUUUUGGUUCGGAAUAACUCAGGGAAACUUGUGCUAAUACCGAAUGUGCCCUUCGGGGGAAAGAUUUAUCGCCAUUAGAGCGGCCCGCGUCUGAUUAGCUAGUUGGUGAGGUAACGGCUCACCAAGGCGACGAUCAGUAGCUGGUCUGAGAGGAUGACCAGCCACACUGGGACUGAGACACGGCCCAGACUCCUACGGGAGGCAGCAGGGGGGAAUCUUGCGCAAUGGGCGAAAGCCUGACGCAGCCAUGCCGGGGUAAUGAUGAAGGUCUUAGGAUUGUAAAAUUCUUUCAACGGGGAAGAUAAUGAAGGUACCCGGAGAAGAAGCCCCGGCUAACUUCGUG
rnacentral:rRNA from 1 species